GAUGAACGCUGGCGGCGUGCCUAAUACAUGCAAGUCGAGCGGACGGAGGAGGAUCUUGCUUCGCUUAAGUUAGCGGCGGACGAGUGAGUCACACGUAGAUGACCUGCCGAUAAGGCUGGCGUAACGUCGGGAACCCUGAUCUCACACACGAUAUUAUGGUGAAACUGAUGGAUCAUAGGUCAAAAAGGGAUUUGAUGUCACUAAGUCGGAUUAGCUCGUUGGUUUGGUAACGGCCUACCAAGGCAACUAUGCGUAACUGGUCUGAGAGGGUGAUCAGUCACACUGGAACUGAGACACGGUCCAGACUCCUACGGGAGGCAGCAGUAGGGAAUAUUGCACAAAGGGCGAAAGCCUGAUGCAGCCACGCCGCGUGAGUGAAGAAGGUCUUCGGAUCGUAAAGCACUGUAAGUUGGGAAGAAGAGCAGUAUAUGAAUAUCUGGCUGUCUUGACGGUACCAAAAGAGUAAGCAACGGCUAACUACGUG
rnacentral:rRNA from 1 species